ACUCAUUGUAAACAUCUUUUUUUUUCCUACUUAUUUUUUUUCUUUUCA
rnacentral:ribozyme from 1 species